GACGGAGGAUGCAAGCGUUAUCCGGAAUGAUUGGGCGUAAAGCGUCCGCAGGUGGCAGUUCAAGUCUGCUGUCAAAGACCGGGGCUUAACUUCGGAAAGGCAGUGGAAACUGAACAGCUAGAGUAUGGUAGGGGCAGAGGGAAUUCCUGGUGUAGCGGUGAAAUGCGUAGAGAUCGGGAAGAACACCCGUGGCGAAGGCGGCCAGCUGGGCCGGUUCUGACGCUGAGGCGCGAAAGCGUGGGGAGCAAACAGG
rnacentral:rRNA from 1 species